AUUGAACGCUGGCGGCAGGCCUAACACAUGCAAGUCGGACGGUAGCACAGAGGAGCUUGCUCCUCGGGUGACGAGUGGCGGACGGGUGAGUAAUGUCUGGGGAUCUGCCCGAUAGAGGGGGAUAACCACUGGAAACGGUGGCUAAUACCGCAUAACGUCGCAAGACCAAAGAGGGGGACCUUCGGGCCUCUCACUAUCGGAUGAACCCAGAUGGGAUUAGCUAGUAGGCGGGGUAACGGCCCACCUAGGCGACGAUCCCUAGCUGGUCUGGGAGGAUGGCCAGCCACACUGGAACUGAGACACGGUCCAGACUCCUACGGGAGGCAGCAGUGGGGAAUAUUGCACAAUGGGCGCAAGCCUGAUGCAGCCAUGCCGCGUGUAUGAAGAAGGCCUUCGGGUUGUAAAGUACUUUCAGCGGGGAGGAAGGCGAUGUGGUUAAUAACCGCAUUGAUUGACGUUACCCGCAGAAGAAGCACCGGCUAACUCCGUGCCAGCCGCCGCAGUAA
rnacentral:rRNA from 1 species